rnacentral:tRNA from 1 species
GGUGGGAUCGCCUAGUUGGUCUAUGGCGCACGCUUGGAAAGCGUGUAUGGCGCAAGUCAUCGCGAGUUCGAAUCUCGCUCCCACCG